rnacentral:lncRNA from 1 species
AGGCGCAAAAUAUUUUUGUCCUCAAAUUUAAAUUUAUGGUAAUUUUUUUUACUUAAAUUUUAGAGAUCAUUGCAAUCAAGUUCCACAAUCUAAUUUAGUUGGCUAAAUAUUAAUAAAUUUGUUAAUAUAGAAGUGAUGUAAAAAUAUUAUGAUUAAUAAUAUGACAAUAAUUAAGAUGUCGCAUUAUUUCUAUAUCAACAAUUUAUCAAUAUUUAGUUCACUAAAUUGGAUUGUAGGAUUUGAUUACAACAAUUCAAAAAAAAAAAAUGAGUGAAGUUGCAACAUGUUAAAUUUUGACGACUAAAGAAUUACUCGCCUCAUAGUUUGAGGACAAAAGUGUAUUUAAUCUUUAAAAAUUGGAGAUAUGUACUUAUACCUAAAAUAAAAUGAGCAGGAAAAAAAAAAAAACUCUACACACUCAACUUCAGGGUGGAUCCGUGUUUGGAUACUUAAGUUACUAACGUACCCAUCAGCUCUGUUUGAGCAGAUCUAGAUAAUGACUAUCUGUGAACGACCUGCUUAAAUAUCCGGUAUGAAUCUGGUCUUAAUCGAGUAUAUAUUAGGUACAGAUAUCCGUAUGCAUAUUUAUGAUAUAAAACACUAAUAUUUAUUACAUCAUAAGUUCAAAAUAAAAAUACAAAAUUUGCAGUAGUUAUACAUGUAUUAAUUUCUCUAAAAUACAUAAAACCACCAUCUAAACACAUACAACAAUAUAAUAAAUAAAAAAAUUAUAUUAAUAAGUUCAAACACAUAUAAUACAAUUACAUAAAACACAUACAACUAAUCAGAUAAUGCACACCAUAAAUCUAAAAUACAUGCACCUACU